rnacentral:lncRNA from 1 species
UAAAUUUUAAGUUGUCAUAUAUUGGUGCAUAAUUUCUUAUUCAAUAUGUAUUUUAUAGACAACUCUCUGAUAAAAUAUCAGCAGUACAAAUAAGAAAAGAAAGAAAAGCAUAAUAAAAAAAUGAGAAAUGAAAAGAGUAUAUUUGUUAGUUGUUACAAAACAAGAAUAAUUCACUACAAUUUGUGGAGGGACAAUCCAAAAUCCUUUUAAGCCCUGGGAAUGGUCAAAAGAAUAUCUAAAUGGUGGAGUAAAAAUAAGAGAAAACAGACCUGACGGAUUGAAUCGGCGACGGAGGAAAUAUGAGGUGAGGAGAGGUCGAUAACUUGAAGUUUAGCUGCUUCUGCCAUUUGCACUUCUCUAUCUCUAUUGUAUAGACACACGCCAUAUCCCGCUAGAGAAUUUAUAGCCUUUACUAAUUUGUAAUUAAAUGAAUAGGGCAAAAAAGUAUUAGUCAACCAGCAAUUAAGAAAAAAAAAGAGAAAAAG